rnacentral:rRNA from 1 species
UACGGGGGGGGCAAGCGUUGUUCGGAAUUACUGGGCGUAAAGGGCCAGUAGGCGGCCAACUAAGUCGGAUGUGAAAUCCCCAGGCUUAACCUGGGAACUGCAUCCGAUACUGGAUGGCUUGAAUUCGGGAGAGGGAUGCAGAAUUCCAGGUGUAGCGGUGAAAUGCGUAGAUAUCUGGAGGAACACCGGUGGCGAAGGCGGCAUCCUGGACCGGUAUUGACGCUGAGGCGCGAAAGCCAGGGGAGCAAACGGG